CGCGCGGUGAGCGGGCGAGCAGGCGAGUCGACGCGGAGCGAGGGUAGAGGAAUUCACCAGCCAUGGACGAGGUCCUGAAAGGACUCUCCAAGGCCAAGCAGGAGGUCGUGGCCUUUACCGAGAACGUGCUCAAUGCUGAAUAAGGAAAAGCCAAAGAGGGCCAGAGGAAUAUUACAGCAAGCAGUGGGCUUACCCGUACAUGGCUGACCCAGGAGGUGAAUCCCUGAUGAGCAUGCAGGCAGGCUUAAGUUAAAGGAAAUGAGAAAAAGAAAUUUGUUCAAGUUGGAUAAGCAAUCUACAGCUUAGUGAGAAUCUCGAUAUCCUUUGAAAAUUCCUCACCUUCAGGUUUUUCUCCAUUGAAAGAGUAAAAAAUGCAUUGAAACCGCACAAAUAAUGCUAAUUAAUAUUUAAUGAGUGAUUGAGCAAAUGCCAGCUGUGAACCUACCGUGACCAAGACCAAGGAAAUCUCUGAUGGUUUCCACAGCUUGAGUCUUCCGGGAAUCAUUUUUCAAACAGGUCUCUGGGCUGUUCCGUGUCACAGGAGGAAGCUGAGUGUACCCAAGGUCCUUCCACAGAACUCAGCCUUCAGUGCUGGGAAUGGUGGAGCCAUUGCUGCGUCCUGAAGUGAUGCUCGUAACUCUUCACCGGGUCUUGAAAGAAGCCAUCUUCGGCCAAGUUCCUUCCUGCUGAACCCUGGAAGCACUCCCCCCACCCCCCACCUGCCCACAGUGCUGCCAUUAUGCCUCUCCACCAGACUCUACAGCCUCCUGCUGAGUUUUGCAGAGAUGCCGAACUGCUGACAAUUUCAGGUACACAGGGAUAUUUCCGCUGAGAAUGCCCGCCCUUCUCAGAGGGGCAGUGGGCGACCUCCUCCAAUCUCCCCUCCCUGCCACAAGCCUUGGCAGCCACACCCACUCCCUACCACCGCCUAAGCUAAACGCCCAGUUAAAUAUUCUGGGUUUUCCAGACAGCAAGGCCACAUGAGUGACUGCCUGACAUCUCCAAACCAACGACACCACUAACACCCCAGCAGGAGAGCAACAGAUUGGAUGGGAAUGUGACAUAGACGCCAACUCAACCCAACUAACAAAAACAGUAACACAGAAGGCUCGGCUAGCAACAGCAGCUUUGGAACAGGCAGUUGCAGACAAGACUUAUUGUACCCAUGAUGAGACAGAACAAAUUCCACAGUUUCUUUUUACUGAAGUCUUUUUUUUUUGAUCAUUCCAUUAGGCACUUAGUUGUAAAAAACAAUAAACAUUAAAUUAUUAUAGGUCUGCUGGGGGGCAGAUUUGAGGGGUGUUUGAAAGAACAGAGAGAGUGGAGGAGGAAGAUGACAGUGGUGAUGGAAUUUGUGUUGGGAUGUUGAAUGCCCAUAACAAACACAGCAUGAACAACUUUGUAAACUAUAAAUAAAGCUGGGGCGAGCAAGAAAUAAUCUUCACCUUGGCUACAUUUAAAUGAUUUACCUGAUGUUUCCUGUUACCUGUAUCAUGUAGUACAGGCACAGUAGUCUGUCUCAGAAAGAGCAAUUUGCGAUUAUUCACAAAUAAUUAAUAUAUUCUUUUUUAAAUUCACUUUUUUUUUUCGGUCACACCCAUGAUGCACAGGGGUUACUCCUGCCUCUGUACUCAUGAAUUAUACCUGGCGGUGCUCAGGGGACCCUAUAGGACACAAGGAACUGAACCUGGGUUGGUCUCGUGCAAGGCAAACGCCCUACCCGCUGUGCUAUCGCUCCAGUCCCAACACAUUACUUUUUAUACUUGAUGUUAUACAUGUAAAUAUGUUACAAAACCACUAAGUAUUUUUUUCUUGCAAAGCCAACAAAUUUUACCCAGCACCUAUAAGUACGUAUAAGUAUAUAGUAACAGAUGGCGAUAGGGAUAAAAGUAAACUUGAACUCGGAAAGAGUGUGCUAUACCAUGAAGUAUGGCCAUGGGGAGUUACAGUUUCUGUUUUUGCAACUUGCAUUUCCUUGACUGUUUCUGAAACCCUUGACUUUACUUACAUACUCCCAAGUUAUUCAAUAGAACUUGCCAAAUGCUAUGUGUUCUCCAAUUUAGCUUCUAAAUUUGUUUGUUGACUAUUUCGCUUUCCUUGCUCAUCGUGCAAUGUGUUCUUUAGAUUUCUCUUUCUAAUUCUGAAACUAUGUUCUUUAUCUUCUGUUUCUCUCUAGUGUUUAUGUUUUUAUGAUGCUUCAUCACUUACCAUUUUUAAAAGGGUUUCUCCUGCUCUUACUCCCUUUUAUCCUCCUUCCACUCCUUAUUUAUUUUUUUAUUCUUG